GAUGAACGCUAGCGGCAGGCUUAACACAUGCAAGUCGAGGGGUAACAAGAGGAAAGCUUGCUUUUCUUGUUGACGACCGGCGCACGGGUGAGUAACGCGUAUCCAACCUGCCUAUAACUAGGGAAUAACCUUGCGAAAGUAAGACUAAUACCCUAUGAUUUCCUUUGAUGACAUCAGAUUAGGAAUAAAGAUUUAUCGGUUAUAGAUGGGGAUGCGUCUGAUUAGCUUGUUGGCGGGUAACGGCCACCAAGGCAACGAUCAGUAGGGGUUCUGAGAGGAAGGUCCCCCACAUUGGAACUGAGACACGGUCCAAACUCCUACGGGAGGCAGCAGUGAGGAAUAUUGGUCAAUGGGCGGAAGCCUGAACCAGCCAAGUAGCGUGCAGGAUGACGGCCCUAUGGGUUGUAAACUGCUUUUAUACAGGAAUAAAGUUAGCCACGUGUGGUUAUUUGUAGGUACUGUAUGAAUAAGGACCGGCUAAUUCCGUGCCAGCAGCCGNGGUAAUGUAGUCGUG
rnacentral:rRNA from 1 species